rnacentral:rRNA from 1 species
GAGUUUGAUCAUGGCUCAGAUUGAACGCUGGCGGCAUGCCUUACACAUGCAAGUCGAACGGCAGCACGGGAGCUUGCUCCUGGUGGCGAGUGGCGAACGGGUGAGUAAUGCAUCGGAACGUAUCCUGGAGUGGGGAUAACGUAGCGAAAGUUACGCUAAUACCGCAUAUUCUGUGAGCAGGAAAGCGGGGGACCUUCGGGCCUCGCGCUCUUGGAGCGGCCGACGUCGGAUUAGCUAGUUGGUGAGGUAAAGGCUCACCAAGGCGACGAUCCGUAGCAGGUCUGAGAGGAUGAUCUGCCACACUGGAACUGAGACACGGUCCAGACUCCUACGGGAGGCAGCAGUGGGGAAUUUUGGACAAUGGGGGCAACCCUGAUCCAGCCAUGCCGCGUGAGUGAAGAAGGCCU